UUUGUACUGAUGUCGAUGAUAUUCUAUUGGAAGCAGCUUGCGAUGAUUUGAUCGUCAUCGAACUUGUUUCGCGUUCGGUCGUGACCACGAAGAACACGGGCACGUGACACGCGCAGGUCGUGUAGCCGUCACCAGGAGUUGGCUGUGACUGGGUGUUUGAUGGGGCUAUAAAAGCCUCAUGUGAAAGGACAUUGUUUGGCUCAGCUGCAAACCAACGUAGUUCUGUACGGAGAAUGGGGGAUGUUGCCGAAAGUUGGAGGAAAAGGGAACCAGGAUAUCCUUCUUGGUGGAUCUCGUCUAUGGCUGGAGUGAUUCAUCUAUAGGGUGAAUGGUACCGAACCAGGGAAUGACACGAGUGUUCACAAGCUGCACCAUCCCUUGUACCAACCCCUGUCCUGGUCGCUUGAAACUCAAGCACAAGUGGUCACCGUUCUUUGCUACCAACCGCAUAUGUAUAUCGCGUGU